rnacentral:lncRNA from 1 species
AUGGGGAGCCCCCCUCAUCCCGCGAGCCUUUCCCGACAACCGGGGGAGUCCCCUAUUCCCCCACCCAGGAGCCCCUCCCAUACUAUGGGAGCCUCCCACCCCCACCCUUGGAGCCCCACCCCGGAAGCCCCCCACCCCACUCCACCCCACCCCACCCCCUACCCCAGGGGCCCCGCCUACACUCCGGAGCCCCUCCCUGCACCCCAGGACCCCUCCCACACUCCGGAGCCCCCCCUCGGGAGCCCCCCACUACCCUGGGAGCCCCCUCAUCCCCACCGCGACUCGUUAGAAAAUGCAGCGGUGGAAGGACCGCUGGGAUUACCUGGGGGCGCUCAGGCCCUGCCCGGGUCCCCAAGAGGGGGGGUCCCAGGCCUCGCGCAGACCUCGGCCAGAGACAGGACCGGGUCCUCUGCUCGGUGGCGCGCCGCGUGCACACCGCCCCUCGCCCGGGCACAGGUGUGGACGCGUUCACGCGCGUCCCCGGCUCUGCAGGGGCGGCCUCCCCAGCAGGCGCCUCCUAACCGGGGUGGGGAGGGCCGGCGGAGCGGCGUGGCCACCGUGACCCCCGAGCCCCGACCCCUCCCUGCCCGCCGGGGCUCUCUAGGACCUAACACCGCCCGGCCCGGGGGGCGGGACUCCUGUAUUGUGACGUCACGCGGAGGCGGGGCUGCGGCGCCUGGACGGACAGACGGACGGAGGAAGCGGGACGGACCGGGCGGGGCCGGCGGGCGCGGGCGCGGUGGUAAGGGUUGGGCUCGGGAUCCGCCGCCGCGUGUGGACGCGGGCGCAGCGUGGGUGUGUGCGCGGGGGCGGGGUGCGGGGUGCGGGGUGCGGGGCGGGUCCCAGCCCCGGGCCCCGAGCCCCAGCCCCGAGCCCCUCGGCCUCCGCGCGCCACCCCCCGCCGGGCCGUGCGUCCUGGCCCCGGAGCAGCCACCUCCCUCCCCCGCGGGCGCGCUCCCCGCACUGAGCGUGCUCGCACCGGGUGGAGCGUGCUCCGCCCCGUCGGCCGUGUGUGGGCCCCCCUCGGGAACGGAGCCUCCCCCCGACUGA